GCCACAUCAACGAGAGUCGCCACACUCUUUGGAGAUUGGCAAACCCACAACGUCCCCACCCCCACCCCUUUGCCUCCUGGGUGCGUGGCCAGCCCCACCAGUGAGAGCCGUCUCCAGCAUUUGUUAAUAGGAAUCAGGGGGGCGGCUGGAAAGCCCCAGAGUGCAGACUUCGGCAUCAAGACACCUGGCUCUAAAUCCUGGCUUUAUCCCUUUCUAGCUGUGGACCUCGGAUACCUGAUUUAACUUACCUGAACCUCAGCUUUCUCCGCCAUAAAAUGGGAAACUCAUGAUCAUACCUCUGUCAUCGGGUAGUUGGCGGGAUUAAAUGGGAUAAUACAAGAAAGUUCUCAAAAUGGUAAGUAAAGUAAAUAAUAAAUGUGGUUAUUAUCUCACAAGUAUAGAAGGCAUGUGAGGAUUACCUUCAGGACCAAGCAAGUUCUUUAUGGCUAAGGUUACUCCCUCCUUCUGCCACUUGAGCCUCUCCCGAGCAGAAAGGAUAGGCCUUUCUGGCCAUCUUCUGCCCCGGACCCUGAGCUCUGUCACAGAAAUGGCUCUUCCUCAUCUCCGUCCUGGUCAACCAUUCAGUCACCCCUUCAACAGCCCCCAGCCAAGCUACAGGUGGAAACUUUUUGACAGCUGAAACCAGUAUCAGACCGAAGGCGUUAAUGGUUCUCAUAGAAGAAAGAAUCUCCCUCUCAUGCCCAGGAGGGACGGAAGCCACAGACUCCCGUCACCUCAUCUCUAGGAACACGGGAAGCUCAGAAGACAUUUUGGCACUUCUGCCCCCACGUCCACAUGGAUACGGAACCCCACGCUGGAGUCAACCCUUCCCGGCCCUCCUUGCAAACAGAAACUGGCCCACUCCUUCAGGUGCAUGGAAGAACGGUACAAAUGGACUAGCCAAGAUCCCCAGGGCAUCUAACUGUCUCCCAUCCAGGGGCUUUCUGGGGAAGGGAGACUAUUUGAGACGUGGCAAAUCAACAUUUAGCUUUGUGUUCAAAGCGAGGAGAGUAGCCUGCUCCUCAGUCUGGAAUGGGUACCUGCAGAGAGGUCAGGAAGAGCAAGAGAGUUAUGAGGAUGAUAAUAGGAAUACUAGCAGCACCUUAUGAUCGUAAUAGCGGGGCCUCUGGAGACGGAUCUGGGUUGGAAUCCCGGCUCUGCCACGCGUGAGCCGUGGGCUUCCCUUAACCUCCCUGAGCCCCCGUCUUGGUAAGCAAGGGGAUAAAAGAGCGUUAUCAGCCUCCCCGGGAUGUCUGUGAAGAUUAAAUGAGCAAGCACACACAACAUAAUGGCCAGCACAUCAUACAUACCCAGUACAAUUAAAAGCCCUCCUUAACUGCUUUGAUGUUGAUUCAGCAUUUUACAGUUUACAAAGCACUUUUACAUGUAGGAGCUAGUUCAGUUCUGCCUCGUCCCCUUAAGGAAGCCACUGUGAGCUCCAUGUCUUAAAUGUGAGACCCUGAAGCUCAGAGCAGUCUAAUGACUUGCCCAAGGUCAACGAUUCCCAUUUUAAAACGAUCGAAUAGAAGCCAGUAGCUCGAGUAGGAUUUUGAGCAUUUGGUUCCGGUAUCGAGCACUCGACACAGAGCGGGAAUCAUGACCCACUGCUUGUCGUGUCUUGUCAAAGGAAUAUGAUUGGUGUUUCAGGCUCAUCUGGCCCACAGCUGUACCUGAGCCAGACCAGAGCGCAGCCCUGCCUGGGCCAUCUGCAGGCUCGGGGAUAGGUCAAUGUCAGAGUGCACAGCAGUUCAAAGACACUAGGAUUCGGGGCUCCGUUGUAGCUCAGCGGAGAGUGUAGAGAACAGGGUGACAAUGUAGCACAAUGAAUAUUGCACAGAGGGUGCUAAGCUUCCGCUUCAGCAAGAUCCAAAUGCUCAUUUCAUCUUGGAUUUUCCCUUCCGGCAGUGCCAUUCCCUACGGCCGCUGAUCCUGGGGACUUUGCUGGAGCCGUAUGGCCGCCCGCUAAAUUGGCUGUUCUUGAUGGUGAGUAGAAAGAGGAAGGGGGGGUGCUGGGGGCAGAGGGAAAAAGAAAGAUAAGUCAAGGGGAGGGGAUUAGGGAAGAUGAAAGAGGGAGAUGAGAGAAGGAAGAUCUUUCGCUGGACUGCUCUU
ensembl:lncRNA